GUUAAGUCCUCCGCCUCCCAGGCUCCGGCCACUCUCCCCUCCUGACCUUUCUCCUCUCCAGCACUGGGCACAGAACCCAGAGCCAGCAGAGCGCCCUGCCUCAUCCUCAUGGCCUGCCUGAGCCCCUCACAGCUUCAGAAGUUCCAGGAGGAUGGAUUCCUGGUGUUGGAAGGAUUCUUGUCUGCAGACGAGUGUAUGGCCAUGCAACAGAGAAUCGGCGAGAUAGUGGCCGAGAUGGAUGUCCCACUCCACUGCCGCACGGAAUUUUCCACCCAGGAAGAGGAGCAGCUGCGAGCCCAGGGCAGCACAGACUAUUUCUUGAGCAGUGGUGACAAGAUUCGGUUCUUCUUUGAGAAAGGUGUCUUUGAUAAGAAAGGAAACUUCCUGGUCCCUCCGGAGAAAUCCAUCAACAAAAUUGGCCAUGCUCUGCAUGCCCAUGACCCUGUCUUCAGGUGUGUCACACACUCCCCCAAGGUGCAGGCCUUGGCCAGAAGUCUGGGCCUCCAGAUGCCGGUGGUGGUACAGAGUAUGUAUAUCUUUAAGCAACCUCACUUUGGAGGCGAAGGUGAGCCAAGAAGCAGGCUGGGGGGCCCAACAAAGGCCUGGUGGGAGAUCUGGGACUUCAGCGAUUGUCAGUCACCCCUCACCAGGAUGCCUCCUUCCUGUACACGGAGCCCCUGGGCCGGGUGCUGGGUGUGUGGAUUGCGUUGGAGGAUGCCACGCUGGAGAACGGCUGCCUCUGGUUCAUCCCUGGCUCCCACACUGGGGGAGUGUCUAGAAGGAUGGUCCGGGCCCCUGCUGGCUCAGAGCCUGGCACCAGCUUCCUUGGGUCCGAGCCAGCCCGGGAUAACAGCCUCUUUGUGCCCACACCAGUGCGGAGAGGGGCCCUCGUCCUAAUCCACGGCGAAGUGGUGCACAAGAGUGAGCAGAAUUUCUCCGACCACUCGCGACAGGCCUAUACUUUCCACAUCAUGGAGGCUGCCGGCACCGUCUGGAGCCCGGAGAAUUGGCUCCAGCCGACAGCUGAGCUGUCCUUUCCCCCGCUGUACACCUGAAGGCCCUCUCAGGGCCAAGGUGCUGUCCCCUCCUCGGGGAAGCUGUGGGCUGCCAACACCAGCGCCUCACCUGACUACCUGGCUGUAGCCAGAAAGCCGCAUCUCCCCUCCUGGGCUUUCCUUCUGCCAGUGUCUGUGCAGACAGGCAAGCACGAGGUGGCUGCCAGGCAGCGGGAGUCCGGGCGGGGUGCCUUUCCUACGAUCUCUGUCUCUGCCUCCCCCUGCCCCAACAUGACCUCCCCCUCGAGGCGGCCUCUCAGCCAUGAAAGGGUUCUGGCUGCUUCUCUGCUGGCUUCUUAUCCUCCUCUCCUCUCAGAUGAAACUCGUGCUUAUUACAGCAUGAGACACUGAAUAAAAAUGACUUCUGAACGCAG